rnacentral:rRNA from 3 species
GGUUAAGCGACUAAGCGUACACGGUGGAUGCCCUGGCAGUCAGAGGCGAUGAAGGACGUGCUAAUCUGCGAUAAGCGUCGGUAAGGUGAUAUGAACCGUUAUAACCGGCGAUUUCCGAAUGGGGAAACCCAGUGUGAUUCGUCACACUAUCAUUAACUGAAUCCAUAGGUUAAUGAGGCGAACCGGGGGAACUGAAACAUCUAAGUACCCCGAGGAAAAGAAAUCAACCGAGAUUCCCCCAGUAGCGGCGAGCGAACGGGGAGCAGCCCAGAGCCUGAAUCAGUGUGUGUGUUAGUGGAAGCGUCUGGAAAGGCGUGCGAUACAGGGUGACAGCCCCGUACACAAAAAUGCACAUACUGUGAGCUCGAUGAGUAGGGCGGGACACGUGGUAUCCUGUCUGAAUAUGGGGGGACCAUCCUCCAAGGCUAAAUACUCCUGACUGACCGAUAGUGAACCAGUACCGUGAGGGAAAGGCGAAAAGAACCCCGGCGAGGGGAGUGAAAAAGAACCUGAAACCGUGUACGUACAAGCAGUGGGAGCACGCUUAGGCGUGUGACUGCGUACCUUUUGUAUAAUGGGUCAGCGACUUAUAUUCUGUAGCAAGGUUAACCGAAUAGGGGAGCCGAAGGGAAACCGAGUCUUAACUGGGCGUUAAGUUGCAGGGUAUAGACCCGAAACCCGGUGAUCUAGCCAUGGGCAGGUUGAAGGUUGGGUAACACUAACUGGAGGACCGAACCGACUAAUGUUGAAAAAUUAGCGGAUGACUUGUGGCUGGGGGUGAAAGGCCAAUCAAACCGGGAGAUAGCUGGUUCUCCCCGAAAGCUAUUUAGGUAGCGCCUCGUGAAUUCAUCUCCGGGGGUAGAGCACUGUUUCGGCAAGGGGGUCAUCCCGACUUACCAACCCGAUGCAAACUGCGAAUACCGGAGAAUGUUAUCACGGGAGACACACGGCGGGUGCUAACGUCCGUCGUGAAGAGGGAAACAACCCAGACCGCCAGCUAAGGUCCCAAAGUCAUGGUUAAGUGGGAAACGAUGUGGGAAGGCCCAGACAGCCAGGAUGUUGGCUUAGAAGCAGCCAUCAUUUAAAGAAAGCGUAAUAGCUCACUGGUCGAGUCGGCCUGCGCGGAAGAUGUAACGGGGCUAAACCAUGCACCGAAGCUGCGGCAGCGACGCUUAUGCGUUGUUGGGUAGGGGAGCGUUCUGUAAGCCUGUGAAGGUGUGCUGUGAGGUAUGCUGGAGGUAUCAGAAGUGCGAAUGCUGACAUAAGUAACGAUAAAGCGGGUGAAAAGCCCGCUCGCCGGAAGACCAAGGGUUCCUGUCCAACGUUAAUCGGGGCAGGGUGAGUCGACCCCUAAGGCGAGGCCGAAAGGCGUAGUCGAUGGGAAACAGGUUAAUAUUCCUGUACUUGGUGUUACUGCGAAGGGGGGACGGAGAAGGCUAUGUUGGCCGGGCGACGGUUGUCCCGGUUUAAGCGUGUAGGCUGGUUUUCCAGGCAAAUCCGGAAAAUCAAGGCCGAGGCGUGAUGACGAGGCACUACGGUGCUGAAGCAACAAAUGCCCUGCUUCCAGGAAAAGCCUCUAAGCAUCAGGUAACAUCAAAUCGUACCCCAAACCGACACAGGUGGUCAGGUAGAGAAUACCAAGGCGCUUGAGAGAACUCGGGUGAAGGAACUAGGCAAAAUGGUGCCGUAACUUCGGGAGAAGGCACGCUGAUACGUAGGUGAAGCGACUUGCUCGUGGAGCUGAAAUCAGUCGAAGAUACCAGCUGGCUGCAACUGUUUAUUAAAAACACAGCACUGUGCAAACACGAAAGUGGACGUAUACGGUGUGACGCCUGCCCGGUGCCGGAAGGUUAAUUGAUGGGGUUAGCGCAAGCGAAGCUCUUGAUCGAAGCCCCGGUAAACGGCGGCCGUAACUAUAACGGUCCUAAGGUAGCGAAAUUCCUUGUCGGGUAAGUUCCGACCUGCACGAAUGGCGUAAUGAUGGCCAGGCUGUCUCCACCCGAGACUCAGUGAAAUUGAACUCGCUGUGAAGAUGCAGUGUACCCGCGGCAAGACGGAAAGACCCCGUGAACCUUUACUAUAGCUUGACACUGAACAUUGAGCCUUGAUGUGUAGGAUAGGUGGGAGGCUUUGAAGUGUGGACGCCAGUCUGCAUGGAGCCGACCUUGAAAUACCACCCUUUAAUGUUUGAUGUUCUAACGUGGACCCGUGAUCCGGGUUGCGGACAGUGUCUGGUGGGUAGUUUGACUGGGGCGGUCUCCUCCUAAAGAGUAACGGAGGAGCACGAAGGUUGGCUAAUCCUGGUCGGACAUCAGGAGGUUAGUGCAAUGGCAUAAGCCAGCUUGACUGCGAGCGUGACGGCGCGAGCAGGUGCGAAAGCAGGUCAUAGUGAUCCGGUGGUUCUGAAUGGAAGGGCCAUCGCUCAACGGAUAAAAGGUACUCCGGGGAUAACAGGCUGAUACCGCCCAAGAGUUCAUAUCGACGGCGGUGUUUGGCACCUCGAUGUCGGCUCAUCACAUCCUGGGGCUGAAGUAGGUCCCAAGGGUAUGGCUGUUCGCCAUUUAAAGUGGUACGCGAGCUGGGUUUAGAACGUCGUGAGACAGUUCGGUCCCUAUCUGCCGUGGGCGCUGGAGAACUGAGGGGGGCUGCUCCUAGUACGAGAGGACCGGAGUGGACGCAUCACUGGUGUUCGGGUUGUCAUGCCAAUGGCACUGCCCGGUAGCUAAAUGCGGAAGAGAUAAGUGCUGAAAGCAUCUAAGCACGAAACUUGCCCCGAGAUGAGUUCUCCCUGACCCUUUAAGGGUCCUGAAGGAACGUUGAAGACGACGACGUUGAUAGGCCGGGUGUGUAAGCGCAGCGAUGCGUUGAGCUAACCGGUACUAAUGAACCGUGAGGCUUAACCUUACAACGCCGAAG